rnacentral:rRNA from 1 species
GCCUAGGAAUCUGCCUGGUAGUGGGGGAUAACGUCCGGAAACGGACGCUAAUACCGCAUACGUCCUACGGGAGAAAGCAGGGGACCUUCGGGCCUUGCGCUAUCAGAUGAGCCUAGGUCGGAUUAGCUAGUUGGUGGGGUAAUGGCUCACCAAGGCGACGAUCCGUAACUGGUCUGAGAGGAUGAUCAGUCACACUGGAACUGAGACACGGUCCAGACUCCUACGGGAGGCAGCAGUGGGGAAUAUUGGACAAUGGGCGAAAGCCUGAUCCAGCCAUGCCGCGUGUGUGAAGAAGGUCUUCGGAUUGUAAAGCACUUUAAGUUGGGAGGAAGGGCAGUAAAUUAAUACUUUGCUGUUUUGACGUUACCGACAGAAUAAGCACCGGCUAACUCUGUGCCAGCAGCCGCGGUAAUACAGAGGGUGCAAGCGUUAAUCGGAAUUACUGGGCGUAAAGCGCGCGUAGGUGGUUCGUUAAGUUGGAUGUGAAAUCCCCCGGGCUC